UCUGGCGCCUUUGGCGUCCGAGUUGUAAUUUGGAGAGACAUCUUCGGGGAUGGCAUACUGUCCUAAGUUCCUUGGAACAGGACGUCACAGAGGGUGAGAAUCCCGUGCCUGGAUGGUUGUCCAUCCCCAUUGUGAAGGGUCUUCGACGAGUCGAGUUGUUUGGGAAUGCAGCUCAAAAUGGGUGGUAAACGUCAUCUAAAGCUAAAUAUUGGCGAGAGACCGAUAGCGCACAAGUAGAGUGAUCGAAAGAUGAAAAGCACUUUGAAAAGAGAGUAAAAUAGUACGUGAAAUUGUUGAAAGGGAAGCGCUUGAGACCAGACACGGUCCGUGGUAAUCGCCCGCGCUUCGGUGCAGGUGCUCUUACCAUGACCGGUGCCAGCAUCGGUUCUGGCGGUGGGAUAAAAGGCAGGGGAAUGUAGCUUCCUCACUGGGAGUGUUAGAGCCCCUGUCACAAUGCCACCAGUCGGGACCGAGGACUGCGCUUCAGCUAGGAUGUUGGCGUAAUGGUCUUAAGCGACCCGUCUUGAAACACGGACCAAGGAGUCUAACAUCUAUGCGAGUGUUCGGGUGGAAAACCCUUGCGCGUAAUGAAAGUGAACGGAGGUGGGAACCCCGAAAGGGAGUGCACCAUCGACCGAUCCUGAUGUCUUCGGAAGGAUUUGAGUAAGAGCAUAGCUGUUGGGACCCGAAAGAUGGUGAACUAUGCCUGAAUAGGGUGAAGCCAGAGGAAACUCUGGUGGAGGCUCGCAGCGGUUCUGACGUGCAAAUCGAUCGUCAAAUUUGGGUAUAGGGGCGAAAGACUAAUCGAA
rnacentral:rRNA from 1 species